GUGGAGGCAGCAGUGGGGAAUCUUCCGCAAUGGACGAAAGUCUGACGGAGCAACGCCGCGUGAGCGAAGAAGGUCUUCGGAUCGUAAAGCUCUGUUGUCGGGGAAGAACAAGUACGGUAGGAAAUGUCCGUACCUUGACGGUACCCGACGAGAAAGCCCCGGCUAACUACGUGCCAGCAGCCGCGGUAAUACGUAGGGGGCGAGCGUUGUCCGGAAUUAUUGGGCGUAAAGCGCGCGCAGGCGGUCUCUUAAGUCUGAUGUGAAAGCCCCCGGCUUAACCGGGGAGGGUCAUUGGAAACUGGGAGACUUGAGUGCAGGAGAGGGAAGCGGAAUUCCAUGUGUAGCGGUGAAAUGCGUAGAGAUAUGGAGGAACACCAGUGGCGAAGGCGGCUUCCUGGCCUGUAACUGACGCUGAGGCGCGAAAGCGUGGGGAGCAAACAGGAUUAGAUACCCUAGUAGUCU
rnacentral:rRNA from 1 species